GACGAACGCUGGCGGUGUGCUUAACACAUGCAAGUCGAACGGUAAGGCCCUUUCGGGGGUACACGAGUGGCGAACGGGUGAGUAACACGUGAGUAACCUGCCCUCAUCUCUGGGAUAACAGUCGGAAACGGUUGCUAAUACUGGAUAUGAGCUUGCAAGGCAUCUUAUGGGUUGGAAAGAUUUUUUUGGUUGGGGAUGGACUCGCGGCCUAUCAGCUUGUUGGUGAGGUAGUGGCUCACCAAGGCUUCGACGGGUAGCCGGCCUGAGAGGGCGACCGGCCACAUUGGGACUGAGAUACGGCCCAAACUCCUACGGGAGGCAGCAGUGGGGAAUAUUGCACAAUGGACGGAAGUCUGAUGCAGCAACGCCGCGUGCGGGAUGACGGCCUUCGGGUUGUAAACCGCUUUCAAUUGUGACGAAGCUUUUUUGUGACGGUAGCAGGAGAAGAAGCACCGGCUAACCACG
rnacentral:rRNA from 1 species